ensembl:ncRNA F53B3.9 ncRNA
GCUUUGAUACAAACUCAUGCGAAAAAUGUUGAGCCCUGGAAACAAUUGAAAUUCAUGUCGGAAGCAUACGUCAGACAGGAGCAAAUAUUGUGGUUCGGAGGAGUUAGCUAUCAGUGCGUGGGGGGGGGUGGGAGGUUUUAGAACCGGUCACUGUUGUAUUUACUUCUCAGUCGGAGUUAAAUAAUGGCCACGGGAGUGCACAAA